CCUACGGGUGGCUGCAGUGGGGAAUAUUGGACAAUGGGGGGAACCCUGAUCCAGCCAUGCCGCGUGUGUGAAGAAGGCCCUCGGGUUGUAAAGCACUUUCAGUGAGGAAGAACGCCUGGUGGUUAAUACCCAUCAGGAAAGACAUCACUCACAGAAGGAGCACCGGCUAACUCCGUGCCAGCAGCCGCGGUAAUACGGAGGGUGCGAGCGUUAAUCGGAAUUACUGGGCGUAAAGCGCGCGUAGGUGGCUUGAUAAGCCGGUUGUGAAAGCCCCGGGCUCAACCUGGGAACGGCAUACGGAACUGUCAAGCUAGAGUGCAGGAGAGGAAGGUAGAAUUCCCGGUGUAGCGGUGAAAUGCGUAGAGAUCGGGAGGAAUACCAGUGGCGAAGGCGGCCUUCUGGACUGACACUGACACUGAGGUGCGAAAGCGUGGGUAGCAAACAGGAUUAGAUACCCUUGUAGUC
rnacentral:rRNA from 1 species